rnacentral:rRNA from 1 species
UACGUAGGGGGCAAGCGUUGUCCGGAUUUAUUGGGCGUAAAGCGCGUGUAGGCGGCUUGGCAAGUCCGCUGUGAAAACUCGAGGCUCAACCUCGAGCUGUCGGUGGAAACUGCCUGGCUAGAGUCCGGAAGAGGAGUGUGGAAUUCCUGGUGUAGCGGUGAAAUGCGCAGAUAUCAGGAAGAACACCUAUGGCGAAGGCAGCACUCUGGGACGGUACUGACGCUGAGACGCGAAAGCGUGGGGAGCGAACAGGAUUAGAUACCCUGGUAGUCCACGCCGUAAACGAUGGAUGCUAGGUGUGGGCGGUGUCGACUCCGUCCGUGCCGAAGCUAACGCAUUAAGCAUCCCGCCUGGGGAGUACGGCCGCAAGGCUAAA